CAGAUCGUUUACUUUUUUCAGAUGAGCCGUGUAAGACGGCUCAGAACGAAUAGUGCUUCUCGAUACCGGCCGCCGCCGAGGACAGCUACACUCCGUCCCCCACUCCCGAUGAAGGCUGCGGCGGCUCCACACGGAAGAUGACGACGCUGGCAUAGAGUUCCUGCUGGACGCGGUUAACAGAUUUCCCCUCCGGGGAGAAUUCGCGGGCAGCUUGGACCACCUAGAUCCGGUUCCUCUGGCGGGGCUCCCGAGGAUUGAUGGCACCCGCGUUGAGCCGGCUGACUCGAACGCUGGGUCUGGGUGUGGGCACCAUAUUGACAGCGCUAACCAAGGGCGCCCAGAUGCCAACGAGAUUCGCACAAUCUACCGAGAGGGUGAAUUCGGAGGCACCUGGAUGGGCAAAAAGGUUACAUCUAGGGAGCACGCCGCCUGAUAGAACCCCAUGCCCAUCUAGGAUGAGUGCCCUAGAGCAGUCAAUCCGCAAGUAUGCAGAGGAACCAACGAAAAGUGUAGUUCGUCCUGAAGUGGGACGGAGUUUCGACUUACUCGGCGAGGCGUACGACUUCUACAAUUUGUAUUCAUGGGAGAUUGGUUUUGGCAUAAGGGGAAGCUAGAGACAGAGAACAACAGAUGAUGGUGUUGGGAACACGCUGAAAGUGUUUGCUGAGAUGUUGCAAGUGACCCGGACUUCACGUACAGAGUUCUUGCUGAUAGUGAUAGCAGGGUUAAGAAUCUGAUGUGGACAAAUGGAAAUAGUCAGAUGCAGUACCGACGCUUUGGCGAUGUCGUUACAUUCGACACGAGUUGGAAUAAAAGUAAUUCUCUUUUUAUUUCUUCUAGUUUGAUCAAUGAUGGCAUCAUAGGGUGCAUCUAAUGUCAAUUCCAGAUAUUUUAAAGUUCACAGCCAUAUCCUGUGAAAUUUAAAUCAAAAAGGCAUUUAGAAUACAGAUACAUGAUAACAUCA